rnacentral:lncRNA from 10 species
CUUUUCCUGUGCCACAGCAACCAAGAAGGUCACAUGUUCCAGAAGCUGCAGCUAUAAGGUGGGUGGGGGGACCUAAGUGGGCCUGGGCUCUUGAGUGACUAUGUGGAGCAGAGCUGCACUGACUCUUUCUUAUCCAUGGGUAGCACAAGCGAAAAAUAAACUUCUGUGGUGCAAAGUCACUGAGAUUCAGGAGUUGUUGCCAAAGCGGAGCCGAGCUCAGUGGUUCCCAGUCUGGUCCCAGCCACCACGUAAGAUGUUCCUUUGCUCUUCCUUCAUCUUCCACCAUGAUUGUGAGGCCUCCCCAGCCAUGCUGAACUGGGUAACCACCACAGGCCCACAGGCUAAAAUUGAGCUGGAGUAAGUGGCAACAGAGAGUAUUUAUUGUCCCCUAAGAGCCCUGGCCCUUGUAGGACAUGUGAAUGCCAGUGCUCAUGGAGAAAGGUGGAGGAAGAGAGCCAGAGUGCAGUUCACCUCUGGGAGAGCAGACCAGAGUGGCUUCCGUGGGCACAUGCUGGAUUGAAGUGAGAAGACGUGACUACUAAAGUUGAGGCCCCAAGUCUCAGCUUCUUCCCCCUCCAAAGCAUGAGUGGAGGAUUCACUUAAGGCCACUUUGAAGCCCAUAUUGGAGGAGCAUUACUCACUCUGAGGAUCCUGGCAUAGGCAGAUGCAUCACUUGUAUUGAAGUAUAUUAUCUGCUGUGAUAUUUAUGAUGAAAUGAGUUUGCCAGCCAUCGUCUAUCAGGGGAUCAAACAUAGGCACCUGCCUGUCCAAGGGGGUCUAAGUCACAGUACAGAAGUGGUUUGCAAAGGCUGGUGGGAUGGUGUGGCAGGCCUGUGGAGUUGAAUAAAAAUCCUGAUGUCCUUCCUGGCAUGAAGAAUGGAGCUGCCAAGCUGCCCCCAGGAGAAGCGUGCUGCCUAUGCAUCUCACUGGACUUCUGUGUACAGAAGAAAUAUUGGUGGUUUGACC